rnacentral:rRNA from 1 species
UACGUAGGGGGCUAGCGUUGUCCGGAAUCAUUGGGCGUAAAGAGCGUGUAGGCGGUCCGGUAAGUCCGUUGUGAAAGUCGGGGGCUCAACCCUCGAAUGCCGGUGGAUACUGUCGGGCUAGAGUGCGGAAGAGGCGAGUGGAAUUCCUGGUGUAGCGGUGAAAUGCGCAGAUAUCAGGAAGAACACCCGUGGCGAAGGCGGCUCUCUGGGACGGUACUGACGCUGAGACGCGAAAGCGUGGGGAGCGAACAGG